rnacentral:snoRNA from 1 species
GUGUAAAUGAUGUAAAAUGGUGAUCAUUUAACUACUGAAUUUUAUUGAUGUCUUAAAAUUUGAGCUUUUUAAAACUGAUGCACA